CUACUAGGUCGGUGCAAAAGUAAUUGCGGUUUUUGCCAUUACUGUUAUUGACAAAAAACGCAAUUACUUUUGCACCCAACUUAAUA
ensembl:miRNA